rnacentral:rRNA from 1 species
CCCUUAGAUGUUCUGGGCUGCACGCGCGCUACACUGAUACGAUCAACAAGUUUUUCCUAUGUCGAUAGACACGGGUAAUCUUUUGAACUCGCAUCGUGAUGGGGAUAGAUUAUUGUAAUUAUUAAUCUUCAACGAGGAAUUCCUAGUAGGUGCAAAUCAUCAGUUUGCAUCGAUUACGUCCCUGCCCUUUGUACACACCGCCCGUCGCUGCUACCGAUUGGUUGAUCUGGUGAAUUAUUCGGACUGCCGGCUGAAGGGGUUUCCUCAUCUGCCAGCGGAAAGUCUUGUUAACCCUAUCAACUAGAGGAAGCAGAAGUCGUAACA